AAUAAUAAUAAUAAUAAUAAUUACGCACAACAAAAAAUCAAGAAGUUUUAAUAGAAAGUAAACAGUAUUUCUCUGAAGCCUCGAUUUCUUGGCUUAUACACAUAAGCUAAGAGAUGGAACAAAUUUGUCAUAUAAAUUUACUGAUCUCCCUGACAAGGGUUCCAUUUUUUUUCAACAAUGAAAUGAAUUUCCACAGAUUUCUCAAAAAAAAAAAAUCCCAAAAGGUAAUACCCUGAAUUUAAAAGAAUCAAGAGGCAUAAAGUGAAAGAUAGCUAACCAGAAAAGGAGUCUAUAUGCAUAUAAAGAAGGAGAUUUAGAAGUAUAGAGAGAACAACCUGAAAUUUGGAAUUGAGGAACCAAACAGAAGUAUAUAGCAGAAGAAGAAACAAAAUUGAAGACCCAAAGCAGAAAUAAAAUUUUGCUUAUAAAAGGGAGAGAGCCAUCUCUCUCCUCUCUUUCUCUAACCCACAACUGCAACGACCUAUGCCUUGUAUGUACAGUACAGGUUAAGUCUCAGGAGAAGUCUUCCGUUUUUUCUAGCUGGAAACCGUUUUUUAU
rnacentral:misc_RNA from 1 species